UACGUAGGGGGCAAGCGUUGUCCGGAUUUAUUGGGCGUAAAGAGCGUGUAGGCGGUUUGGUAGGUCCGCUGUGAAAACUCGAGGCUCAACCUCGAGACGCCGGUGGAAACCAUCAGACUAGAGUCCGGAAGAGGAGAGUGGAAUUCCUGGUGUAGCGGUGAAAUGCGCAGAUAUCAGGAAGAACACCCGUGGCUAAGGCGGCUCUCUAGUACGGUACUGACGCUGAGACGCGAAAGCGUGGGUAGCAAACAGG
rnacentral:rRNA from 1 species